rnacentral:rRNA from 1 species
UAGGGAAUCUUCGGCAAUGGGGGCAACCCUGACCGAGCAACGCCGCGUGAGUGAAGAAGGUUUUCGGAUCGUAAAGCUCUGUUGUAAGAGAAGAACGUGUGUGAGAGUGGAAAGUUCACACAGUGACGGUAACUUACCAGAAAGGGACGGCUAACUACGUGCCAGCAGCCGCGGUAAUACGUAGGUCCCGAGCGUUGUCCGGAUUUAUUGGGCGUAAAGCGAGCGCAGGCGGUUUAAUAAGUCUGAAGUUAAAGGCAGUGGCUUAACCAUUGUUCGCUUUGGAAACUGUUAAACUUGAGUGCAGAAGGGGAGAGUGGAAUUCCAUGUGUAGCGGUGAAAUGCGUAGAUAUAUGGAGGAACACCGGUGGCGAAAGCGGCUCUCUGGUCUGUAACUGACGCUGAGGCUCGAAAGCGCGGGGAGCAAACAGG